rnacentral:lncRNA from 7 species
GAUCGACCAAAUCAUCUACCUAUGUAAGAAGUCAAAGUUGUAUGUGCAUAGGUUUGGAGGUACUAGAGCCAUGGGGACUCAUGGAAGCUACAACUUCUAUUGUUGCACGUCUUAAAGGGGUGGGUGUAGGAAGUAUUACGGUGCAUGUGCAUCCAUGUCGGUCUACACUGUUAAAAAAUACUAUAUAGGAUGAUAAGUUAUAUUUGGAUAGAUAUUCCAAUUCUAUGAUGUACUAGAAUCUAGUUCAACUCCAUAUUAUAUUUAUCUAGGAUUCUUAAAAUCAGCCUGAUUUGUAUUAUAUUUAUCUAGGAUUCUUAGAAUCAACUCUUAUAUACGUAGGUCACCCUUAGUCAUUGUUAUUUAUCUAAUAGAUCAACACGCAUCACACACACUCCAAUUUGAACUGUCGGCAAUUCUUCCGAGCAUCUACUUUGCAUGGUAAUUAGAGCCAUGACGAGUUAAUCUUUAUCUACCUCCAUGAACACUCUCCUUGACCUAACCAUCUUUGAGAAGCUGGUGGAGUCCAACCAUGCGCUAUGGUAUGCACAUGUUAAGAGUGUUAUUCGCUGUGCAAAGUAGCUCAACUUCCUGAUCGAUGGUACUAAGGCACCGACGACCAAAAAUCUGCUAGAAGAGCGACGACAAAAAAGAGAUCGAGGUUUGAUUCACUAAGAAGAGCAAAAAACAUUAAUAUACAGUUGGUCGUAACAAAUACCAAAAAGGUUAAUCUAUUUAUUUAUGAAUAGUUUACAAAGAUAAAAUCCCUAGAUGAUUAGAUGGCAGCAGUUGGCCAUCAUCUAAAGAUGAAGAAUUUGUAGAG